rnacentral:pre_miRNA from 1 species
CAAAAGUUUAAGUGCAAGCACAGUUGUUGCUACAUGUGUACUAGCACUUUAACUUUUGAG